GGGUUGUGAGGUUAAGCGACUAAGCGUACACGGUGGAUGCCCUGGCAGUCAGAGGCGAUGAAGGGCGUGCUAAUCUGCGAUAAGCGCCGGUAAGGUGAUAUGAACCGUUAUAACCGGCGAUACCCGAAUGGGGAAACCCAGUGUGACUCGUCACACUAUCAUUAACUGAAUCCAUAGGUUAAUGAGGCGAACCGGGGGAACUGAAACAUCUAAGUACCCCGAGGAAAAGAAAUCAACCGAGAUUCCCCCAGUAGCGGCGAGCGAACGGGGAGGAGCCCAGAGCCUGAAUCAGCAUGUGUGUUAGUGGAAGCGUCUGGAAAGGCGCGCGAUACAGGGUGACAGUCCCGUACACAAAAGCGCAUGUGCUGUGAGCUCGAUGAGUAGGGCGGGACACGUGGUAUCCUGUCUGAAUAUGGGGGGACCAUCCUCCAAGGCUAAAUACUCCUGACUGACCGAUAGUGAACCAGUACCGUGAGGGAAAGGCGAAAAGAACCCCGGCGAGGGGAGUGAAAAAGAACCUGAAACCGUGUACGUACAAGCAGUGGGAGCCCCACCACUAAGCCAGUGGUGAACUCCACAUACGCAUCCUUUGCUGAGGAUACGGUUAACGGAGCGAAAGCGACGUUCAACCGCAAAAGAAGCAGAGGGGGCUUAGUGGUGGGGUGACUGCGUACCUUUUGUAUAAUGGGUCAGCGACUUAUAUUCUGUAGCAAGGUUAACCGAAUAGGGGAGCCGGAGGGAAACCGAGUCUUAAUUGGGCGUUAAGUUGCAGGGUAUAGACCCGAAACCCGGUGAUCUAGCCAUGGGCAGGUUGAAGGUUGGGUAACACUAACUGGAGGACCGAACCGAC
rnacentral:rRNA from 1 species